rnacentral:lncRNA from 1 species
UUUAAGAUGAGCCUGCCAUAGCAUAUACAAGUCACAGGAAGACAUCUCCCUAAACUGGAUCUUAAGAAAGCUGUCAUGUUCGGGAAAGAGAUGCCCCCUCCUAGAAAAGGAGCCAGAGAGAGGCAUUCUGGAGAAUUUGAAACAUGAAGGAACAAUUUGAUAUCUCAAGUUUACUGACCAGAAGUGGCUCCAAUGACAAGUGUUUACAACAGGAUCUUCAUAGAGCCAAUAAUGGCAAUUAGUCUCCAGGAUUUGAAGGCGCCCUUCCCGCCUCACUGAGGUGGAAUGCCAUUUACUCUUGGGCUGGUGACUAAUUAGGGGUCUCGUUUGAAGAUCAAGGUUUUGCGAUUCCUGCUUCUUAAUAACAUGGUUUGCCUGUCGGCCACCUGGGUCCAGGCGAGACCUCCCUUUCCCUCUCCCCACACAGCAAGCACUGCCUUAGGCCAGAGCAAGUGUGGGCAGGAAACCACAGAUCCAGCCUUUUGAGCAAUUUAACCUCUUCACCGCCAAGAUCCUACAACCCAGUGCUUGAUUCAGCUGUGCAAAAAUGGAGGCAUUUGACCUUGUUUCUCAGGCAGGGCUGAAGGCUUGCCUGUGGUGCAAAGAAACCACCUUGGAGGUGAAAUGCUAUGCAGCAUACUUUCUUGGAGAAGAAGAGAGAGAGAAAGACUCCACUUUUCCAGGAAACUCUGGAAGAAAAGACAGAGGAUGGGACCAAGAGAGACCAAAUGCAUUUCCUUUGGAAAUCACUGCCUGGAUCAGGGGUCCUCAAGUUGUUACCAACUCCCACAAGAGCCCUGAAA